UUACUUUGGGUCCUUUCAAAUCCAGGUCAACAUCAGGUAUGGAGAUCUUGGGAGCUUUGAUAUUUAUUUCAGGCAUCUUGAACUUGGGGCCCUUUAGUUUCGCAUCUGGACCUUCGAUAUUCACAUCAGGAACAUCAACGUCCACUUUGGGUCCUGAGACAUCAAUGUCAGCCUUGGGCAGGUUCACAUCCACAUCUGGGCCCUCUCCUUUGAAGCCAGGCAUGCUGAACUUGGGCAUUUUCACUUUGGGCAUUUUUAAGUGCCAGUCUGGGCCUUGAACGUCCACAUCUGGGACAUCAAUGUCAGCUUUGGGCAAAUUAACAUCCACUUCUGGGCCCUCUCCUUUAAAUCCUGGCAUGCUGAAUUUGGGCAUUUUCACCUUGGGCAUCUUCAGGUGCCAGUCUGGGCCAUGAACAUCCACAUCUGGGGCAUCAAUGUCCACUUUGGGCCCUCUGAUGUCAACAUCUGGCACUUUCAUUUCACCUUCUACCUUGGGAACAGACACAUCCAUAUCUGGGGCAUCAAUGUCCACUUUGGGCCCUUU
rnacentral:lncRNA from 1 species